CCCUCCCGUCAAUCCUCACCACCGCUCCCCGUAACCAAGAAAUCCCCACCCAAUCUCGUCUCCGAUUGACUCGAGAGCUCGUCAAAUCCUCCUCCCCGCGGCCUCAAGAUGCAGAUCUUUGUGAAGACCCUCACUGGCAAGACCAUCACCCUUGAGGUUGAGAGCUCUGACACCAUCGACAACGUCAAGGCUAAGAUCCAGGACAAGGAGGGCAUCCCCCCGGACCAGCAGCGCCUCAUCUUUGCCGGCAAGCAGCUGGAGGAUGGCCGCACCCUCGCGGACUACAACAUCCAGAAGGAGUCCACCCUCCACCUUGUGCUCCGCCUUCGUGGUGGUAUGCAGAUCUUCGUGAAGACCCUCACCGGCAAGACCAUCACCCUUGAGGUUGAGAGCUCUGACACCAUUGACAACGUCAAGGCCAAGAUCCAGGACAAGGAGGGCAUUCCUCCGGACCAGCAGCGUCUCAUCUUCGCUGGCAAGCAGCUGGAGGAUGGUCGCACCCUUGCUGACUACAACAUCCAGAAGGAGUCCACCCUUCACCUUGUCCUCCGCCUUCGGGGAGGGAUGCAGAUCUUCGUCAAGACCCUCACUGGCAAGACUAUCACUCUUGAGGUGGAGUCGUCCGACACCAUUGACAACGUCAAGGCCAAGAUCCAGGACAAGGAGGGCAUCCCCCCGGACCAGCAGCGCCUGAUCUUCGCUGGCAAGCAGCUGGAGGAUGGCCGCACCCUUGCGGACUACAACAUUCAGAAGGAGUCCACCCUUCACCUGGUGCUCCGCCUCCGUGGUGGUCAGUAAUUGCCCUGGCGUUGGACAUCCUGGUGGUGGUCAGUAAUUGCCCUGGCGUUGGACAUCCUGGUGGUCGUUCGUCCGGCGGAUCAUUGAACUGUUAUCUCGUUCGUGUCAGUCCUAUUGUGUUUGUUUGAUGAACUAUCGAGUCAUGUGUUGGUUUAAACAGUUGCUGGUAUAGCAGUAUUAUUUAGUAAUGAAUAAGCGAACAUCCGGUAAA